UUCGGAUUGUAAAGCACUUUAAGCUGGGAGGAAGGGCAGUAUGUUAAUACCUUGACGGAUNUUGACAGUUACCAGCAGAAUAUAGCACCGGCUAACUUCGUGCCACGCAGCCGCGGUAAUACGAAGAGGUGCAAGACGCUUAAUCGGAAUUACUGGGCGUAUAAGCGCGCGCUAUGGUGGUUCAUGCAAGUUGGAUGUGGAAAGCCCCGGGCUCAACCUGGGAACUGCAUCUCAAAACUAGCGUGGGCUAGA
rnacentral:rRNA from 1 species